AAACUCUAAUCGCCGAUCCGAAGUAAGAACUCCUAAUCGACCUCCUCUCUCUCUCUCUCUCUCUCUCAAGGUAUUUCAGAUGGCAGACUUGAAGGCUGUUAAAGUUGCACCUUUUGCACCAGUUGACCCAAUGAAAACGAAGAAGAAAAAGAAGGUUAUUCAACAGUUAGUUGACGAUACCGGCCACUUAUACUUAGCAGAAAAUCUUGAACCUUCAUUUACUGGUCUGAAAAAGAAAAAGAAGAAACAGG